CCGAUUACCGAAGUUAAGCAACGUUGAGCCUGGUCCGUACUUAGAUGGGUGACCGCAUGUGAAUACCAGGUGGUGUAA